UACGUAGGGGCCUAGCGUUGUCCGGAAUUAUUGGGCGUAAAGAGCUCGUAGGCGGUCUGUUGCGUCCGCUGUGAAAACUCGGGGCUUAACCCCGAGCCUGCAGUGGAUACGGGCAGACUAGAGGUAGGUAGGGGAGAAUGGAAUUCCCGGUGUAGCGGUGAAAUGCGCAGAUAUCGGGAGGAACACCGGUGGCGAAGGCGGUUCUCUGGAACAAUCCUGACGCUGAGGUGCGAAAGCUAGGGGAGCAAACGGG
rnacentral:rRNA from 1 species